CCCUUAGAUGUCCUGGGCCGCACGCGCGUUACACUGAUGCAUUCAACGAGCUUAUAACCUUAGCCGAGAGGCCUGGGCAAUCUUGUUAACGUGCAUCGUGAUAGGGAUAGAUUAUUGAAAUUAUUAAUCUUGAACGAGGAAUUCCUAGUAAACGCAGAUCAUCAAUCUGCAUUGAUUACGUCCCUGCCCUUUGUACACACCGCCCGUCGCACCUACCGAUUGGAUGGUCCGGUGAAGCCUCGGGAUUGUGGUUCUUGCCGCUUUAUUGUGGCGUGACCGCGAGAACUUGUCUAAACCUUAUCAUCUAGAGGAAGGUGAAGUCGUAACA
rnacentral:rRNA from 1 species